ACCUGCCUGCACAGUAGAUAUGAGGCCUUCAUGGCUGGUGAAUGCACAGGUUUGGGUGAUAAGGAAACUAAAUGUAAGCACAUGGUACAGGCAAGCAAGGCAUUGAUUCUACCCACACCCAACACUUUACCUCAGUGUUCUGUGUUUGGUGAGGCAAGCUUCUCCUGGCCCCCACUGGCUUCCCCCUUUGUAGGUAUUCCCCAGGCAAGCUGGGUUUCUAGGCUGCUGGCUCCUGGCCACAUACCCCAGUACUUUGGACAACAUCCCCUCAUGCUCCCUAGGCUCCUCUGCAACUGCUGCUGCCCUAGCAAUGGGUUUUGGGUCUGUACUUGUUCAAAUGUGGUGGCUGUGACUACAGGGGUGCUGGACAGGUUUUCUUCCCCAGCGGGCUCUACCACUCCCUCUCGUGCUGGCCUCCUCCCAUUCCAGCUGCCCAUGUGUGAGCAGAGGCUCAGUCGGGUCUGCACCAUUGGGUUUGCCCAGCAGCUUCCACACCAAUACCUGCUCUUUCUCUUAUGGGUGUGUCACAGCACUGAGGUGCCCUGCUCCCAAAGAGGGGAAAACUGCUAGGGAGGAAGCCCUAGCAGGGAAUAAGGAGCCCAGCUGUGGGUUGCCGGGGCAACCAGGGAAGGUCAGCUGACCAGAAGGGGCAGGGCCUGGCUCCCUUAUAAACCCUAGGGGCUGGGGCCAGAGGCAGUUCCCUGCCAGCUGCCAGAGAGAAUGGAGCUUUCUGCCAUGGGAGAGAGGAAAAGCCUGAGCAGCAUCCAACAUUGCUGAGAGUUAAAGGGUCACUGAAUCUAACCAGCUGACUUGGACUGCAUCUUUGGCAGCACUGCUGUUAUCCUGUGACCAGACAACGAAUAAAAGUAGAAGCAAAACCAUCUUAUGCUGGGUUCACAGAAAAGGGAACAGAGAGUCGCUGUCCAUAUGCCAUUGGAGGCUCAAAUUACCAGGCUUGCAAAUUUUUAUGCCAUGACAGGAAAUUGAACAUAAGACUACAAGACAAUGCAGACAAGUAGGAACUGCAUAGGGUCAAUAAUGUAGAAACAGCAAGAACACUUCUAAGCCAGUCAAAGGGAUUAAACAGAGAUUGUCAAACCCCAUUUGCCACAAAUGUUGCAUUUGUUAAAGAUAAGCUUUUAGAAAACCUAGGGUCAACAUCUUUCCAUUCUUUUUAAUAUGUUUUGUGGAAGCUAUUUUUCUAAACCAGUAAUGCCUCCCACACAAUGCAAAUACAUGGAAUAAAUUGUGAAAGUGGAUUUUAUUACGCAACUCCUGUCAAAGCAUGUCCCUGUUCAGGUUUAAGACAAAUGGUUCAGUUAGAAAGAUGGUUUGCCAGUCGGCAGCGCUUCUUUCUGAUCAAAGGACCUGCCAGUCUUAUUUUUGGCAGAAGGCGGGCAGGACGACACCUUACAACAGUGGUUUUCAUCCUUUCUUGGAUUCAAGGUGCCUCUCCGCAACUUCUGUGAAUUGAGUAGCACCCCAUUUAAAAAACUAAUUUAUAUGUUGCUGUGCUUAGCUCCUUGCAGAGUGGGGCUAGGGUUGCCACCCCUCUGGGAUUGCCCUGGAGUCUCCAGGAAUUAGAUAAAAUCUCCAGGAGACUGCUGAGAGUCACCUGUGAGAGAAAUGCUAGGACAUUCAUUAAAAUAAAUAUGAAAUGUUGAAUCCAAUGGGAUAUACAGUAGUCCAGUGGGUUUUUAAAAUGUAACAGUAAUGUACAUUUGCCUUCCUGAGUACAGUACAGUAGAUCAGUCAUUAAUGUGGAUCAGCCAAGCAGAGACAAACCUGAGCCUGCGCUUGUCUCCUUACAUCAAACUUCUCGCCUCACCUCAUGGCAACCUUUGGAGGAUCUGAAGUCCUUGUAACAGAAACAAUCUGAGUUAUUAUUUUUUGAUUCAAAAACCGAGUGAAAACUAAGAAUGGUGUUUUCUGAGGGGCAUUGAGAGGGAUGGAUAAUGCAUAACGCUUUGGUAAGGUGACAGCCCGCUUUGUCUGCCGGACUUGAGGCUAACAGGCCUAACACUCUCCACCCAAACUUGCCUGCCAAUG